rnacentral:rRNA from 1 species
AACGAACGCUGGCGGCAGGCCUAACACAUGCAAGUCGAGCGCCCUUUCGGGGGAGCGGCGGACGGGUGAGUAGCGCGUGGGAAUAUGCCCUUCUCUACGGAAUAGCCUCGGGAAACUGAGAGUAAUACCGUAUACGCCCUGUGGGGGAAAGACUUAUCGGGGAAGGAUUAGCCCGCGUUGGAUUAGGUAGUUGGUGGGGUGAUGGCCUACCAAGCCGACGAGCCAUAGCUGGGUUGAGAGGAUGAUCAGCCACACUGGGACUGAGACACGGCCCAGACUCCUACGGGAGGCAGCAGUGGGGAAUCUUAGACAAUGGGGGCAGCCCUGAUCUAGCCAUGCCGCGUGAGUGAUGAAGGCCUUAGGGUUGUAAAGCUCUUUCAGCUGGGAAGAUAGUGACGGUACCAGCAGAAGAAGCCCCGGCUAACUCCGUG